rnacentral:rRNA from 1 species
GACGAACGCUGGCGGCGUGCUUAACACAUGCAAGUCGAACGAAAAUACCAAGCUUGCUUGGUUGAUUAGUGGCGAACGGGUGAGUAACACGUGAGUAACCUGCCCCUUACUUUCCUGGAUAACUGCUCGAAAGGGUAGCUAAUACGGGAUAUUCUGACCAGCCUGCAUGGGUUGGUUUGGAAAGGUUGUUUUUCUGGUAAGGGAUGGGCUCGCGGCCUAUCAGCUUGUUGGUGGGGUGAUGGCCUACCAAGGCUUUGACGGGUAGCCGGCCUGAGAGGGUGGUCGGUCACACUGGGACUGAGUUACGGCCCAGACUCCUACGGGAGGCAGCAGUGGGGAAUAUUGCACAAUGGGCGCAAGCCUGAUGCAGCGACGCCGCGUGAGGGAUGAAGGCCUUCGGGGUGUAAACCUCUUUCGUCAGGGAACAAGGCACUGCUUUUGUGGUGGUGUUGAGGGUACCUGGAGAAGAAGCGCCGGCUAACUACGUG